GGAAGUUUUGGGCCAAGUGGAUCAAGGCAGUGGAUUGUGAAUCCACCAUACGCGGGUUCAAUUCCCGUCGUUCG
rnacentral:tRNA from 1 species